rnacentral:lncRNA from 1 species
AAAGUUUUAGCUUUGAUUAUGCAUAUAAAAAUGUUCAUGCUUUUUAUGAAAUUUGCAGUAGAGACUAUUUAAGAAGUACGCUUUGGACUACUGUUGAAUUUUUUCCAUCACUAUCUUCGUUGUUUUUUCUAUUUUUGAUUGUUGCAACUUGAAAAUACUCAUAUUUAAGGGCCUACAUGGUUCUUAAUUAUUUUGGCUUGGUGAAAUUCCAAGGAUAACUGAUGCCUAUGUUUUAUGUUUGGAACUAGAAAUGAG